ACUCAAAGGAAUUGACGGGGGCCCGCACAAGCAGCGGAGCGUGUGGUUUAAUUCGAUGCGACACGAAGAACCUUACCUGGGUUUGACAUGGAGGUAGUAGUGAAGCGAAAGCAGAACGACCCGUCAGGGAGCCUUCACAGGUGCUGCAUGGCUGUCGUCAGCUCGUGUCGUGAGAUGUUGGGUUAAGUCCCGCAACGAGCGCAACCCUUGUCGCUAGUUACGUGUGUCUAGCGAGACUGCCGGUAUCAAGCCGGAGGAAGGUGGGGAUGACGUCAAGUCAGCAUGGCCUUUAUAUCCAGGGCUACUCACACGCUACAAUGGGCAGUACAGUGGGAAGCGAAAGGGCGACCUGGAGCGAAUCCUAAAAAGCUGCUCGUAGUUCAGAUUGCAGGCUGCAACCCGCCUGCAUGAAGUUGGAGUUGCUAGUAAACGCAGGUCAGCGAUACUGCGUUGAAUACGUUCCCGGGCCUUGUACACACCGCCCGU
rnacentral:rRNA from 1 species